rnacentral:lncRNA from 10 species
CUGCUAAAAUUAGUUGGAGUUGGGAGGAGGAGCACUGGGGCAUAACCGUCAGCAGCUGCAGCUUGGAGAAGCUGGUUCUCUUGUCUUCAAGAAGGCAGAUCUCUCCCUAGCCUGCUGAGCCUUCUGUGUUUUGGGGAAGAAGGAGACAUGCAUACAAGGAGAAUGCCAGGUGAACGUGAAGACCAUCAUUUGCAAGCCAAGAGAGGCCUGGAGCAGAUCCUUCAGAGCCCUCAGAAGGGACCAACCCUGCUGGCACCUUGAUUUUGGACUUCCAGCCUCCAGAACUAAGAACUUGAUGUAUACCUCCUGACCUGUUCAUCUUGUAGCUGCCUCUUGACAGAUAUAAGAGGCCGCCCUGUAGAGGAGGAAGGAGGAAGUUGGCUGUGAUUGACCUUGCUAGGUCAUCUUCCUAAUCUUUGUCCUUUCCUGCACCCCAAAUGGAAGAUAAAAGGCAAUGCAAGAUCAGCAUCCUCAGAGACAUCGUUUUGUUUGGGUUUCAUGGAUUGCAAUUGCCAGAGAUGCUUAGGCUGCCUCUAGAGGGAAGAUGAUUGAUUGUUAACCUAUGUGGUCCAACCAAAUGUCUUAGGGGUUAUUGAUAAUUAAAAUGGACAAUAGCGAUUUUCCAUUUCUUCUGGCCUUGGGUGCUGGCAUGUGGAAGUGGUAUUGAUACUCAUGACCAAAUAGGCACUUAUCGAUUUCAGUUUUCAUAAGUUGCCUACCAAAUGCAAACUAGUAACCCAGACGUGGGAGACCUAAUAUUCCAUUGUUAAUCUUUAGGUCCAUAAUUUUUAUUUCCUCUACUUGCCUCUUCUUCCUUCCUCUGCAUAAUGAGUUGGGCUUAUAUAAUUGCACCCAUUUACUCACUCAUUCGUUCAAUCAAUUAUUUGUUCCUAUUUUAUGCCAAGUAAUGAACAGAAGGUGUUGGGGAUGCAAAACCCAACUAAUUGGAAUUUCUAUGUUACAGGAGCUUAUGCUUUAGUGAAAUUAUAGACAAAUUAUUAUACAGUUUUAAUCCAGAAUAGUAAGUGCUAUGGGAGCAUGCACAGAGGAAACAACCCAAUCUUAAGGAAUCAGGAAGGUUUGCAGAGGACUGACAGGAAAAGUGGGCAGGUGAAGAAGAUGGGCAGUGAGAGGAGGAGUGGAAGCACUUUUGCUAGGGAAAAACAUGAAUAAAAGGGAUAAUUUUCUGCUCUUACCCCUGGGUGAUCUUUGCGUGGUACUGUCCAUCACAGUUGGGAGAGACGGCUCCUCAGAGCUGCUCCACACUGUUCACAGAGGAUGCCAUUCCAAGGAAACUGGGGAAUAGGGAAAGUCUUUAGCUUAUUCCUCUUUGAGGUUUGUUUGAGAUGCAGUUUCUUCAAUAUUUUGAGUCUAUGAAAACAUGUUGUAUACUUAAAUAUAUACCACAAAAAAUAAAAAAAAUUGCGAUUUAAA